UGUCACUUCUGAAUCUUACAAGGGCUAAUUUGUUGGAAUGAGCUUCAGCCUCAGGGAACGCUGGGAGGCAAAACCUGGGACAGUGGCAAACAGAAUUCGGUCCAUAGAAAACUGGGGCAUAGGCUCUACCAGGAACCAAGAUAUUGAUAUGAGAAAGGAGGGAGGGAUCUAAAGAAUCCCUUCCUGCUCCUGCUGUCAGCCCUGGGAGACCCCUUGCAUAGUGAAGGACUUGACAUCCACUGACUUCGACUUCUUCUGGUCAGAGGGACAAGAGGACCUGUUCUGAGCUGCACAAUUCAGGUGCAGAAUUCACAGGAGAACACCCCUUUCACCUCACUGGGACAAGAGCACUGAGAUUCAGGGAGGUGACCUUGCUGUGAGGAUCUUCACCAGCUCCCAAGAGGAGGCACAUCCUGUCGGCAAAGGGAGUAGACCAGGGUCUGCCGGGAGUCAAGGAGAGGACCCCAGGUGUGCCAUCAUUUGCUUUUUGAUUACUUGAAAAAAGCCAUUAUUUAAAGAGGUGAAAUCUGUGUUGCUGAUUUUGCUGUUCUUGGCACCCAAGUCUUUAUCACCAAACUUGCUAUCCCAUGGGAAGUCAAAACAUCUUCAUAGUUAGAUGAUCCAGCACAUCACCCUAAGAGGUGGAGGUGCAGAUUCUUAAGCCUGAGGGAGAGCAAGUAGAAACCACUGCUUCCUCUGCCUCCUCUUCCUGCUAUCCUCGAAUCCAGACCACAUCUAGAGAAGUGCCUCAUGGUGGGAUCCUGUCCCUAGAAUACUGAAGAUGACCUCUUCCCACGGUGACAUGGCCUCAAGUCAAAGGAGCCAGUUCAGCGAGGUCUCCAGCAAGCAAGAAGAGGAAGAUCUGCGCCACUCUGAGGAUAUUCUAGUUCGUCAGAUCUUGCGACUUGUGUUUCUAGAUGACAAGAUAGCUAAAUUGUUGCCAGUCCUCCUCCUUAAGUAUCAAAAGAAAGAUCCAAUCACCAAAGCAGAAAUACUACAGAUUGUUGAUGAGGAUUACCAUGUGUACUUCCCUCUCAUUGUCAGUCUAAUCUGUGAGUGCCUGUGUCUGAGCUUUGGCAUUGAGAUGAGGGAAGUGGGUCCCACUGGCCACACAUAUGAGCUUGUCUCCAUCUUGGGCCUCCACUUAUAAUGGGAUACUGGUUAAUGAUCAGAGCAUUCCCCAAAUCAACCUCCUAAUAGUCAUCCUUACUACCAUCUUCAUGAAGGAUAACCAUGCCAGUGUGGAGGACAUAAGGAAAGUACUGAGAAUAAGGGAAAGGUUGCCUCAGAGUAAGUACAUUGUUAUUGAGGAGCCUUGGAAAUUCAUCACAAAGGAUUUGGUAAGGGAACAGUACCUGGAGUGUCGGCAGGUGCCCAAUAGUGAUCCUGCUCGCUAUGAGUUCCUGUGGGGUCCCAGAGCCCAAGCUGAGACCAGCAAGAUGAAAGUCCUGAAGCAUCUGGCAAAAGUUAAUAGGAGAGAUCCGAGGUCAUACACCUGUCUGUAUGAAAAGGCUAUGAAAGAUGACCUACAGGAUGCCAUGCUGGAGUGAUGGCCCACAGAGGUGGUUAGGUACUGGAUAGGGACAGGCAGUAUUCUGAAGCCACAUAACAAGCUUAACUCCCACCUCAUGUGAAAAAGGGCCAUUUUUCAGUCUAUGUUUGUAGAGAUCAGGCAACUUUCUAAAUAGCUCAUGGCCAAGUUAUGAUGGGGAUAAUAUAGUCCAUGCCAUGAUGGUUAUUUUAUUUGGAUUCCUAAAAAUUGACAUGUGUUUUCUUAAUGACUUAUCUUGUUCCCUUUUUUAAGAUUGAAGGAGUUUGUGCAUCUUGUUUGAAGAAUAUUGAUGUUACAUAUGUUUUUAAUUUUCUGAUAUUAAUGGUUGAUUUUUAUUCCAGAUCUGUAUGUGAUUUUGUAUAAUAUUGAUCACACGUAAAUUUAAUCUUUUAUCCUGAGUGCAGGCAUCUUUUAAAUUUUGUAAAAUCAACUGGGAAAUUAUUUUGUUUAUAAGAUGAAACUGGUUAUCACAACAUUGGGAUUAGAACUUCCUUAGAAAUGUGUAUGAGAUUUAUGCCAGAUUUAUGUCCAGAAAUAGGCAUACAGAUAAAAUCUGAUGUUCUACAUUAUUAAAGAUAUAGGUGCACCUGAAUUUUCUGUUUUGUUCAUUAUAGUGUAUCAGGAAACGUUUUGUCAGUGUAGAACUCCACCUGCUCAUGGGAAAAUUGAGCCCUGAAUUCUCAUUACAGCUGUGCUCUUUGGAAGGCUCUGUGUCUGGUAGAGAGAUGAGUAAAGUAUCCUGAGCAGUAUUAAGCCCAUGCUAUAGGACGGUGGAGUGUAGCAGCACCACCAAUGUUGAGAGAUAGACGGAUUUCCUCAAGAACUUAAAGGCAAGAAACAGGACACUGAGGAGGGGAGUAUAGUAGAGAACUGCCUUGGGUGGGUGCUGAGCCAU